rnacentral:tRNA from 1 species
GGGGCUGUAGCUCAGUUGGUAGAGCACUUGGCUGGCAGCCAAGGGGUCAGGGGUUCAAGUCCCCUCAGCUCCA